rnacentral:rRNA from 1 species
UACGGAGGAUCCAAGCGUUAUCCGGAUUUAUUGGGUUUAAAGGGCGUGCAGCCGGGCUGACAAGUCAGAUGUGAAAUCCCGCGGCUCAACCGCGGAACUGCAUUUGAAACUGUCAGUCUUGAGUACCGGAGAGGUCAUCGGAAUUCCUUGUGUAGCGGUGAAAUGCGUAGAUAUAAGGAAGAACACCAGUGGCGAAGGCGGAUGACUGGACGGCAACUGACGGUGAGGCGCGAAAGCGUGGGGAGCAAACAGG